rnacentral:rRNA from 1 species
CCUACGAGAGGCAGCAGUGAGGAAUAUUGGUCAAUGGGCGCGAGCCUGAACCAGCCAAGUAGCGUGAAGGAUGACUGCCCUACGGGUUGUAAACUUCUUUUAUAAAGGAAUAAAGUGAGGCACGUGUGCCUUUUUGUAUGUACUUUAUGAAUAAGGAUCGGCUAACUCCGUGCCAGCAGCCGCGGUAAUACGGAGGAUCCGAGAGUUAUCCGGAUUUAUUGGGUUUAAAGGGAGCGUAGAUGGGUUGUUAAGUCAGUUGUGAAAGUUUGCGGCUCAACCGUAAAAUUGUAAUGGAUACUGGCAGCCUUGAGUACAGUUGAGGUAGGCGGAAUGCGUG